UGAGAUAAUGAGGGAUAAACAAAAUCCUAAAGAGACAAAAACUCAAUCAUCAAAUUCAACCAAAAAAAAGUGUUGUGUUCCAAUGUGAAUAAUAAACUGAAGAAAAAAAAGUUAAAAGGCUUAAGUAAUUAUGAUUCGUCAAUUAUAGAAAAAGCUUUAAAAGCAAUAGAAGACAUAGAGCUGUCCUUGAGAAAAGCUGCUGCUGCUUAUGGAGUACCGAUUGCUACCUUUGUUAGAUGAAAAAGUAUUAGUCCUGAGAAGGCAAAAAUUAGAACUGAGCCAGCGACAGUAUUAUCUUUAAAAGAAGAGGAUGUUAUUGUUCAGUUGUUAUUCUACAGAGCAGCAAUAGGGUCACCUGUGACGAAAACUGACUUAUUAAAGAUGUAUUACAAUUUGUUAUCAUCUUAGACAAUCAUUCUAAUGUGAUAAACUGUGAAUAAAAUAAUUUAACUAAUGAUAGACAACUUUUUACGGUUACAUAUGAAUCGAGUCAAGUUAGUCUUCAAGAAUCAUUAACUGAUAGCAAUAAUGUAAUACGAUGCCCUUCUAAAGACUUUAGUGAACACAGCCUAAUUGAUCAAACUAUCUCUACUGAUGAUACAAACUUAGAUAUGUCUGUACAGCUCAGAUAGAUUACAACAGAGCUCACAAAUAUUCAUCCUACAAAUCCUAUAAACAACAAAAUUUAUCAAUUAGAAUUUAUGAAAGAAAAUUUGGAUCCUACGCCUGCAAUGAUUGACGAACAUCGUUUUAUUCAUAAGUUUUCAUCAAUAACUGUUGAUAACGAUAAAUCUCCCGAAAAACCUCUGAAAGAAAUAUUCACUUUGCCGUUGGAUUAUUUACUGAAGAAAAAAAUAAUAAAAAUUGAAAAAACAGGCAAGUCAAAGUUACCAUCUGUGGGGAUCUCUGAUGAAUGGUACAAACAAUUAAAAA
rnacentral:lncRNA from 1 species